UGAGAGAUUGCUACCACUCCCCU
rnacentral:piRNA from 1 species